UACGUAGGGGCCUAGCGUUGUCCGGAUUUAUUGGGCGUAAAGAGCUCGUAGGCGGUUUGUCGCGUCUGCCGUGAAAGUCCGGGGCUCAACUCCGGAUCUGCGGUGGGUACGGGCAGACUAGAGUGCAGUAGGGGAGACUGGAAUUCCUGGUGUAGCGGUGAAAUGCGCAGAUAUCAGGAGGAACACCGAUGGCGAAGGCAGGUCUCUGGGCUGUAACUGACGCUGGAGGAGCGAAAGCAUGGGGAGCGAACAGG
rnacentral:rRNA from 1 species